UACGAAGGGGGCUAGCGUUGUUCGGAAUUACUGGGCGUAAAGCGUGCGCAGGCGGUUCGCCAAGUCAGGUGUGAAAUCCCCGGGCUUAACCUGGGAAUUGCGCUUGAAACUAGCGGGCUUGAGUGUGGCAGAGGGGGGUGGAAUUCCACGUGUAGCAGUGAAAUGCGUAGAGAUGUGGAGGAACACCGAUGGCGAAGGCAGCCCCCUGGGCUAACACUGACGCUCAUGCACGAAAGCGUGGGGAGCAAACAGG
rnacentral:rRNA from 1 species